GGUAAAACGGGACGGCCCGCCAGAGGACCCCUAAACUCUGUUUCUAUAUGUAACUUCUGAGUAAAACCAUAAAUAAAUCAAAACUUUCAACAACGGAUCUCUUGGUUCUGGCAUCGAUGAAGAACGCAGCAAAAUGCGAUAAGUAAUGUGAAUUGCAGAAUUCAGUGAAUCAUCGAAUCUUUGAACGCACAUUGCGCCCGCCAGUAUUCUGGCGGGCAUGCCUGUUCGAGCGUCAUUUCAACCCUCAAGCACAGCUUGGUGUUGGGACUCGCGUUAAUUCGCGUUCCUCAAAUUGAUUGGCGGUCACGUCGAGCUUCCAUAGCGUAGUAGUAAAACCCUCGUUACUGGUAAUCGUCGCGGCCACGCCGUUAAACCCCAACUUCUGAAUGUUGACCUCGGAUCAGGUAGGAAUACCCGCUGAACUUAAGCAUAUCAAA
rnacentral:rRNA from 1 species